GACGAACGCUGGCGGCGUGCUUAACACAUGCAAGUCGAACGGAAAGGCCCUGCUUGCAGGGUGCUCGAGUGGCGAACGGGUGAGUAACACGUGGGUGAUCUGCCCCUUAUUUUGGGAUAAGCCUGGGAAACUGGGUCUAAUACUGGAUAGGACCAUGCUGUAGGUGGUGUGGUGGAAAGAUUAGUUUCGGUAAGGGAUGAGCUCGCGGCCUAUCAGCUUGUUGGUGGGGUAAUGGCCUACCAAGGCGUCGACGGGUAGCCGGCCUGAGAGGGUGGACGGCCACAUUGGGACUGAGAUACGGCCCAGACUCCUACGGGAGGCAGCAGUGGGGAAUAUUGCACAAUGGGCGCAAGCCUGAUGCAGCGACGCCGCGUGGGGGAUGACGGCCUUCGGGUUGUAAACUCCUUUCAGCCAUGACGAAGCCCUUGUGGUGACGGUAGUGGUAGAAGAGGCACCGGCUAACUACGUG
rnacentral:rRNA from 1 species